AAGCAAAACUUGCUGCACUUCCUUCUUCUAUAGGACCAAUGUGGGGGCAUUGAGAUGCUCUCAGCCAUACCUAGACACUUGAACCCAGAAGAUGGAGCCAGGGGCAUCUGCUUGCUGCUAUGCACUUUAAUAACUACAGGAAAGUAUUUUGUUGUUUGUUCAUGCUUAUACUCUGACUUGUUCCUAUCAGGCUCCGACUUGAAAUCUUGCUGCCGUUCAUCCUUUGGCUGUGAAUCUCUGCUGUUUUAAUACUCCCCAGCAACUCCUUCCAUAUCAUUUCAUCUUCAGCUUUGGCUGAUGCUUUGUACCAAUUUCAUAAGCCUGGUUGAAACUGUUCUUUGUCACUUCAUCAGCAGAACAUUAAGUGACGAGGGCCUUUUCUCCAUUUGACAACCUUCAACUUAACCUUCCACUAUGCUAUUAAGAAGCAGCAAUCACUGCCAAUACAAUUUUUUAAGAAAUGUCACAUGUUCCCUUUCCUAGACUUUUCUUGCCUUGUGAACUUGUAUUGCCUUGGGAAAAAAUGUGAUUGGAAAUCAUAGGUAGAGACGUGCAAAUGAAAUAAACAAAACACAUGAAGAG
rnacentral:lncRNA from 11 species